rnacentral:rRNA from 1 species
GUCUCAGGCCGGAUCAGCCUGAAGGCGCCCGAUCUCGUCUGAUCUCGGAAGUCUAAGCAGGGUCGGGCCUGGUUAGUAUCUUGGAUGGGGAGACCACCUGGGAAUCCCGGGUGCUCGAGGCU